GUUGCAUUUUUAGCAAGCUAUCCAGCUAGGAAUUCACCCCCUCUGAGGCCUGAGGAUGCCACAGACAGGAAAGCUGCAGAGCCACACAGCUGCCAGGCCGGGAAGUUGGAACUGUUAUCAGAAGCUGCACUGCCCUGGGAUUCAGCUUUAGAACAAGAGACAGAAGGAAGGGCAGAAGGAAUCCAGAGAGGACAGUAGCCAGAAGAGCAAAGAGGCUCUGAUUUCUACAGUGUCCCUUGUGAAAUGUUAGGGCUAAUGAAAAAUAUGACAGAAAGGUGGAAGAAAACGUGCAAUAUUAUUUAAAAUUCAAUCAAAGUACCGAAAAGAAUAAGAUAGUAACCACUGGAGAAGCAACGUUAAGACAUUAAGAGGAGACUUCUUAAGUC